rnacentral:tRNA from 1 species
UCCCAGGUGGCUCAGAGGGUAAAGAAUCUGCCUGCAGUGCAGGAGACCUGGGUUUGAUCCAUAGCUUGGGAA